rnacentral:rRNA from 1 species
GAAACCAACUGGGAUUGCCUUAGUAACGGCGAGUGAAGCGGCAAAAGCUCAAAUUUGAAAUCUGGUACCUUUGGUGCCCGAGUUGUAAUUUGGAGAGUACCACUUUGGGACUGUACUUUGCCUAUGUUCCUUGGAACAGGACGUCAUGGAGGGUGAGAAUCCCGUGUGGCGAGGGUGUCAGUUCUUUGUAAAGGGUGCUCGAAGAGUCGAGUUGUUUGGGAAUGCAGCUCUAAGUGGGUGGUAAAUUCCAUCUAAAGCUAAAUACAGGCGAGAGACCGAUAGCGAACAAGUACAGUGAUGGAAAGAUGAAAAGAACUUUGAAAAGAGAGUGAAAAAGUACGUGAAAUUGUUGAAAGGGAAGGGCAUUUGAUCAGACAUGGUGUUUUGCGCCCCUUGCCUCUCGUGGGCUUGGGACUCUCGCAGCUCACUGGGCCAGCAUCGGUUUUGGCGGCCGGAAAAAACCUAGGGAAUGUGGCUCUGCGCCUCGGUGUAGAGUGUUAUAGCCCUGGGGAAUACGGCCAGCCGGGACCGA